CCCAGUGGUAGUCAGCUGUCUUGAUCACUUCCAUGUCUUUGAUAGUGUUACACCGCUGGAAGAUAAAAGGAUUGCCUCGGGGUCUGACAGUCCCCAUCUCCGUUCUGGAGACGGUCGACACAGCCUCUGCAGUACUAUGCUUCCUUGAAAAUGUGCUGAGCGAAACAGACCGGAUCAGCACGGGUUUUGGAAGCAUACACA